GUGAAGACGUCCCUUGAGACCACGUAAAGAUCUCCUGCAAGUGUAUGUGUGAGGACACUUCCCCUUCUGAUGUGACGGUUCACACGCAGCCUCGGCCUCUUUUUUCCACCAUCAAACGGUUUCCAGAAGCCAUCCAGGCUGCAAUCAGGAAGGACUUUGUCGCGGGGAGAAGCAGCCUACCCGGGAGGGGUCGCGGCAGGAAGGCCGCGGUGCCUCGCUCCGGAGGUUAAAAGGUAAACGCUUCAAUCAGCUCCUCAUUGUGCGACUUCAGUCACAAAAACAACGGCGCUUUCUCCGCCGCGCACUUUUUUCAUCUUACACCUGUUGUUUUCUUUGGGAGAAACUCUUUAAGGUCGAAGGGAGCGAACGAAAACAUCGAGUGUUUUCACAGAUAAUAGUUUGUUCUGGAUGUGUUUUUUGAAGAGAGAUAAGAUUAUAGCGUCUUAAUGAGCGGCGGCCCACUCGCAUGCGUCAGCGCGACCUCUCCGUCUCCGCCGCGUUCAACUCGGUUUGGGGGGAAAUGAAUAUUACCAGCGCCUUUGGAAUUAUUUAUCAGAUGUGUAAUCAGGGGGCUCCUGCACCGCUAAGACCUAAAUGUGUUUCACUUGGCUGCACGCUUUGUUUUUCCGCGAUCACGUCCGAUAUUCUGAGAGGUUUCUGAUUGUAAAACGGGGGUAAACGUCCUUAAGAGGCCGUUUAAUACUUAGUUAUUUGCUAAAUUCAGGAAGUAGUUUUCGAUCUGAGCCGCAGUUUUUUUUUUACCUUUUGUGGGAUCACGCGUUGAUAUUCCUGUUGGUUUGAUAUCGGGGACGGACAGUGGGAACCGAUCGGAAACAGGAACUGAUUGACGCCCAGUGAACUCGGCGGCUCUGACACCCCUGGGUGUGUGUGGGGGG